AGUGAACGCUGGCGGCAGGCCUAACACAUGCAAGUCGAGCGGCAGCGGGUCCUUCGGGAUGCCGGCGAGCGGCGGACGGGUGAGGAAUGCGUCGGAAUCUGCCUUUUUGUGGGGGAUAACGUAGGGAAACUUACGCUAAUACCGCAUACGACCUACGGGUGAAAGUGGGGGACCGCAAGGCCUCACGCAGAAAGAUGAGCCGACGUCGGAUUAGCUAGUUGGCGGGGUAAAGGCCCACCAAGGCGACGAUCCGUAGCUGGUCUGAGAGGAUGAUCUGCCACACUGGAACUGAGACACGGUCCAGACUCCUACGGGAGGCAGCAGUGGGGAAUAUUGGACAAUGGGCGCAAGCCUGAUCCAGCCAUGCCGCGUGUGUGAAGAAGGCCUUCGGGUUGUAAAGCACUUUUGUCCGGAAAGAAAUCCUGUCGGCUAAUACCCGGCGGGGAUGACGGUACCGGAAGAAUAAGCACCGGCUAACUUCGUG
rnacentral:rRNA from 1 species